rnacentral:lncRNA from 1 species
UGAAAGAAUAAGAGAAAUAAUAAAAUCUAAUUGAGAUUUGAAAAUUCAUUUUGAUCUACUUUAGAAAAAUAGUUAAUUGAGUAGGCAUGUUUAAUAGGUUAAAAAAGAUAAAAAAUUAUUAGCCGUAUGUUUCUAUCAAAAACAAGCUAAUGAUGUAAGAGCUCAUAGUUAGUAAUCAAGUGUUGGGCACGUAACAAUAUAUAAAUAAGUGGCGUAACAGAUUGUUGAAGCGAGUUUUUACUUUUGUAGAACAACUGAUAUGCCAUUGUGGUAUAUAUUUCUAUUGUCUUAAUAUUUUCUGUUUAUGUCCGUCUAAUUGAAAUGUUUGGACUCCAAUGUUUAGUUCUUAAUGUACUUAAUUUUUUUUUAUCAGAACAUGUCCAUUGCAUUUAUGCUCCUGUCAUUAAAUCUUGAAUCCAAUAGCUGAAAAUGUUUGAGUUAAUUGUUUUUGGCUUUCCAAACCUUAUUAGAUAGAAAGUUUUACUGAUGUGAUUUCAUUCUUAGUAUGUAAAUAUUGUUGUUUUUUAGUAGUAUAUAAAUAUUGUUAAUUGGUCAAAGUCAUAAAAAAAAUUGAGUUUCAGUUGUGAAAAAAAAGUUGAUAUGAGGAACAUACAAGGUAUGAGCAUGCUAUUAAGAAAAUUCAUGGAGUAUAUUCAUUUGAACAAUGCAUGUGCACUUUUGAUAAAGUUAUGCAGGAUAAAUCUAACGACGUAGUGACAAGAAUCCGAAAGGAAUUUGAAGAGGAAAUGUAAAAGUUCAAUUACUAUUCCUUACAAAUGGAAAUGGAGAUGUUUCAAGCCUGACUUCUCAUUUUAGAGGACUAUAAUAUAAAUGUAAGUCCACAUUUAUUUACCCAAUUUACCUUAAAAAUUUAUAACUCAUACUUUAUAUGCAAGGUAUUCGAAUCUUUUAUUUUUCAACGCAUACUUAUGUGAGGACAAAUGAAACUUUUAAGGUAAAUGUCAAAAUUUAAAUAGUAUUUCAAAGUAUAUCCAAAUAAGAAUAAUAUGAACAUUUAGAUGGUACAUCUUUUAAGGUAUUAUUAUUGAUUAUAUUGAUUAUAAUUUUUAAGUACUUUACAUUAUACAUAUAUGUAUAAGUAUAUGAAAAAUAACUUAUUCAUUGAAUUUAUGUAGGAACAACGAAAGUGCAACAAGGCAAAGGAGGAGAAAGAUAAACUAAUGAUGGAUGUCACAUUGUCAG